rnacentral:lncRNA from 1 species
AGUUGACGGACAAGAGCAACGACCCCUCCUGAAAUGCAGUUGACAUGUAGAACCCCUGGGCCCGGCCGACGGGCCUCGACGAGAGCUCGGGGCCCUCGGUCAAGGCGUCGUCGAUCGCGAUGAGGUCGCCGAAGUUGGCGCCGGGGACGGAAGGCAGCGCGACGGGGCCCUUGACGAUCGCGACGGCGGUCGGGUUCGGCCCGCCGAGGAUGUCGUGCAUGUAGAAGUUCAGGUGGGUCGUGUCAUGGGCGACGACGACGUUCGUUGUAAACAGCACGGCGACGGCGAGGAGCAGGAAAUGGUGGCAGCAUAAGAAGGAAUAUAGAGAAGCCAUAUAGUAGGGAAUAAUAGAGACCUGCUGUGUGAAAAAGUGGUUCUUUUAUAAGAGAAUUGGGUGAGAGUGUGUGCGUGUUAGGGUUUGUGCUUUAAUAAUAAGUGUGAAUGUGAGGUAGCAUCAUCUCCAUAGUGCAUGUGUGCAUGGGAUUUUUUUUUCUUUUUUUUUUUAUAUUUAACUCCUUUAGAAAAAAAAAAAAUAAUUCUACAAAAUUUUUAUUUAUAAUAUUAAUUCUAUUCCUGUCUCGCAAGCGCCACACGAGCGUUACGUGAGUCUGGGCAUGGAUUAAGUUGAACACGAUGAACCAUUCAAUGUAUUUGGAUAUGCUGAAUGAUUCAGCGUGUUCUUUUGAUAUAUAUUAUUUAAAAGAAUGUUGUGAAUUAUUUUCUUAGAUCUUAAAUAAUAUAUCAAAAAGACACAGUGCACCAUUCUCCGUGUCUAAACAUGAUGAAUGGUUUACUGUAUUCCACCUAAAUCCCCACCACCAGUUAAUAAUAAAUAAGCCAAUUACAAUAAUUUUAAUAAUUAUAGUUGUCCAUUAUAUAUAUAAAGAGAGAGAGAGAGAAUUCGGCUGGAAUACUAUCGAUCGUACCAAGUGCUGGGUGCUAUCGAGUUUUCCGCCAUUAAAUUUAACCCUUCGACUAUUUUCACUCGUUAGAUUAUACCAUUCAACCAAUAACUCACUCAACUCUAGAGGGCCCAUAUAAUUCUAGCCGUAUAUUUUUUUAUUCAAGGGCCGAAAACCUAAUAGUACCAAUAGCUUUUUACUAUUGAUAAUAUUCCAGUCUAGUUCUCUCUCUCUCUCUCUCUCUCUCUAAUAUAUAUAUAACAACAUGAUAUUACUUACACUGAUGUGUAUUUCCAGAUGUGAAAGUAAACAAUCAUGUUUACUUUUAAAAAUAUUCUAACCUAANUUAAAUUUAUUUUUUGAUUAUUUUUAUAUAUUAGAUAAUAGUAUUCAACCAAUCACUUAUUUAAUUUUAGGAGGCCAUUAUUAUCCUAAUAUAUAUAUGCUACUAUACUAUUAAUAGUAUCAAGCGUUUUAUACUAUCGAAUUUUCAGUCGCUGGAUAAAAAUAUAUAUUAGGAUAAUAAUGGCCUCCUAAAAUUAAAUAAGUGAUUGGUUGAAUACUAUUAUCUAAUAUAUAAAAAUAAUCAAAAAAUAAAUUUAAUGGUAAAAAAAUUAAUAAUAUUAAAAUUUUGAUGCUAUCGUGUAGUAAUUGACUUUAAUUAUUAAGUCACGCGCACAAUAAAUAACGCCAUAAGCCUUGGGGAACCAAAGCGCUUCCCUUUACUUUUGUCUUUCUUAAAAUAAAAUUAAAUAAAAAAAAAGGAAAAGCAGUAGUAGUGCUUUUAAAAGUAGAAAAAAGCACUCCCACACGCCACCACACUGGCGAGCACAGCUGUACUAGUGCUGCCUCAAUAAUUUUGGGAAAAAACUUUGCAACUGCUUUGGAAAGUACCCAAUUUUAUAUUAUUAUUAUUAUUAUUAUUAUUAUUAUUUUUAAGUAACUUACUUUUCAAUAAUGACAAAUAAAGAAACAAAUCAACAAACUAAUGAGCAUGCUUUUAUUGACAUAAUGAUUGAACACAAAGUUGAUGUUGACCUGCCUCCACCACAUCAACCAUGUAUCAUCUAUCUAUCCGCCAUUCAUUCUAUUUUUACUAUCAAACUCCGCAGCUCUCUAAGAAAACUAAAUAUUUAAAUUUAAAAAAAUAAAUGGUGGGAUUUAAAUAUCGAGAUGGGAUGAAUGACAGACUCAUUUCGUUGUAAAAUAGACGUCUAGCUCCAGGAUUGUGUUGCCCGUUGACAACAUACGUCUUUCAGAGCUGAUCAAUUACAUCAAUCAUAAAUCCUUCAGUGAUCUGCCAUCAAUCUCAUUUCUUAGUUCUUACUAUCAAACUCCAACUGACUCGAAUAAACCAAAUAUUAAAGUAAAAAUGCACAUAUGGUAAUUGUGAUCAGCAGGAUGACAAAUUCACUUCGUAGCGACGUUGACGUCGAUUUCGAAGAUUGCUGCACUGAUGGAGAUUGCGUUAUCGCCGCCGGUGUUGUUGAUGGCGCGAGUCUUCCAGAGCUGAUCAACCACAUCAAUCAUGAAUCAUUCAGUGAUCUGCCGUUAGUCCUAGUUCUUACAAGUACGAGAAAAUGUUAAAAUAAAAAAAAAAAAGAAUAGGUGGUAAGGUUCGAAAAGCGAGAUGGGAGGGAUAACAAAUUCACUAUGUUGUGACGUAGACGUCGAGCUCCAGGACUCCGUCACCGUUGGUGGCGUUGCCGUCGUACGUCUUCCAAAGCACGUACCCACGGGCCAUCCGAAACUGCCCGGUUCCGCCGACAACCGACAGCUCCCUGACAGGUGCCGCGAUCGGGUCGCGCCCCUGAACGGACACCACGCUGCCGUUAUACGGCCCGUCGGCGGCCAGCACGAAGUUGACCGACACGAGCAACGACGCCUCCUGAAAUGCAGUUGACAUGUAGAACCCCUGGGCUCGGCCGAUGGGCUUCGACGAGAGCUCGGGGCCCUCCGUCAAGGCGUCGUCGAUCGCGAUGAGGUUACCGAAGUUGACUCCGGGGACGGACGACAGCGCGACGGGGCCCUUGACGAUCUCGAUGGCGGUCGGGUUCGACCCGCCGAGGAUGUCGUGCAUGUAGAAGUGCAGGUGGGUCAUGUUGUCGUCGGCGGUGACGACUUUUGUCGUA